rnacentral:lncRNA from 1 species
ACAGCUGGAAGUCAUAAAUUGAUUCAAGGUGGGAAUGGCAAUUCCCCCCUCUUCAGCACCAUCUUCCUUCCAGCCAAGUGGUAUAGCUAAAACUCUAGUUAAACACAGAUAGCAAUUUAAUGAGUCAUCCCACUAAAGGACAACUGCACACUUUCAUGGGUUCCCGUAACAGGACACAUCUCAGAUACGUGGGGCCCACUCAGCAAAACUUCCUUUGUUCUGUGAAAGAGAAAGGGUAUUUUUCUCCCCAUAAUUCCUCCUACACCUUCCAAGAGAAAUUUCUAAGUUUUUCUUUCUCCUCCCACAGUUCCAUUUAACUAUUCGUUUUUAACUCUCAAUAGCAUCCUCCUUCUUUGUACAUGCUGUCUG